rnacentral:sRNA from 1 species
UAUGAUAUGGGGAACAGUUUAUUUUGC